AGCACCUGGGAAAAGUGAUCGCGCGUUCGCGGUAAUGACAGGCACGCGGAUAAGCGGGAUCACAGGGCUCGUGCUUGCGGCGGGACGCUCGUGAUGGAGCGGCUGCUGCUGACACUGGAAGAUUAGCGCGUGCCCGUUUAUUUGUGCGUGUCAGAGGUUAUUCCCAUUUCCUGUACUUCAAACUCUGUCUCAACUGGGGUCAGAGGUUAAAGGGACAGCGCUGUGUUUCACGCCCCUCUCAUCCUCCAUUUGACAAAAAUCUUCUUUUAGAAGAAAGAACAUGAUGCAGGUUUGGAACGACAUGUGGAGAGGUCUGUGUAAGGAUGAUUGUGAGAGACUCUGCUGGAAUUUGGCAGGCCCGCUGCUUGGAGAGGCGCCCCACGCUGUGACUCCCAUUCAGCGGUCCAGCGCGCUGUGAGGUUGGGAAGUUUCACUGAGCCGUGCACUCAAUGGCUCCACAAAGCUGAUUACAAGCCCCAGCGAAUUCCUGAAGGGACCGGGCAGCCACGCAGGUGUGCGGGAAACCGGGGCAACCCUUCAGAGUUAUAGUGACAGAGCAAGACAAGCCGGGAGACCACACAAAAAGCAAAGCGUCCCGCGAAGCGGCCAGGGAUUUGGUGGGAAAAGAACACCUUAAAUGUCCUCUCCCUUGUGAGCGCAAAGGGAAGGGAGGAGAAACUUUCCGAAGGCCUAUUAAAACGAUGCCCAGUCUCCUCAGGACAGUGAACUAAAAUGCCUGUAGCUACUCUUAGCGUCAUUUUUUGCCAUAUGCAUUUUGAAUAGUCCAGUCUAGUGACUCGCGUAAGAUGGGGGUUCGGGGUUAACGACGAUUCAUAAAACGUAAAGGCCUGCUCUCCCUCACCGUGCCCAAUUCAUUUUCUCUGGUGCGAAAAAUCUACAUCAAUGAAGCAGACAGCGUAUUUAAUUAGAGCGGAGUCGAACUAUCAAUUACUCAGGAAAAACACAGGAUCCCCAAGGACCGGUAAUCAGCGCGCCAACAGUCGGCCGCGCGCUCAUUACAGCAAAGCGACAGGCGGGAAUAAUAAUCAGGGCGCGGCGACGCAUCUGCCUACAGUAUUUCCACCGCUUCCUGUUGCCUCUCAGAAGUUUAAUAACCCGUAGUUUUUGCUCACUGGUAGCUCAGUUCUCUUUUAGACUGCAUCGUUGUUCACUUUACAUGAAGUGAUUUAAUUUGUAAGUUUGUAAACUAUUUCAGUAAAAUUUUACGUGGUAGUUAUUUCUGUUAUUGCAUUUUAGAUCCCUGCUGUUUUGCAUGGGCCUGAAUGGAAAGAGUACUGAAAUUGUGUUCGUCUAAGUUUUCAAGCUGUAUGAAAAACGGGGAGGCUUUUUAGUGUAUUCUGUCAUGGUGAAGUUUUAGCACUGCAGUGGUAAGUGAGCUUGUGAGUUUAUUGCUAUGUUGUUGUACUAAAGAGCAAUUGCUUUACAAAUGUCAGUUCAGAGUCCAGUGUUCGUUUUUUAUCCUGUCAACAUCACCUACAACCACAUUUGUGACCCUGAACAACAAAACCAGUCAUAAGGGUCAACUUUUUGAAAUUGAGAUUUAUACAUAAUCUAAAAGCUGAAUAAAUAAACUUUCCAUUGAUGAUGCGACUAUUCGGAAAAUCUGGAAUCUGAGAGUGCAAAAAAAAAAAAAAAAUCGAAAUAUUGAGAAAAUCACCUUUAAAGUUGUCCAAAUGAAGUUCUUAGCAAUGCAUAUCACUAAUCACGUAUUAAGUUUUGAUACAUUUACGGUAGCAAAUGUACAAAAUAUCUUCAUGGAACAUGAUCUUUACUUAAUACCCUAAUGAUUUUUGGCAUUAAAAAAAAAUCGAUAAUUUUGACCCAUACAAUGUAUUUUUGGCUAUCGCUACAAACAUAUCCGCGCUACUUAAGACUGGUUUUGUGGUCCAGGGUCACAUUUAUCUUGCUAACGUGUGUGGUUGUAGUAUAUGGAGAUUUAUUGGUGGUUUCUUUUUUAAUUAGGCUGCGGAUACAUAUUCGACUUCAUUUUGCAAGGUAAUUGUAUAUUGAAACCACUGUCAACAAUCAAAGUUUAUCCAAAUAAUUAUUUAUUAAAUAUGAAAUAUUUAGCCUUACAAUAACAUGCACACAUGCCAAUAUUUCCUCGGUUUGAGUGAGGGCUCAGUCUUACUUUAUGCGGCUAAUUUAAUCCUCCGCAGAGUCAACAAGGGCUAAUUGAGAUCAGCGGGGCGCAAACACCCAUUCACAAUCAGUUUCUCCCGUGCCCCGGAUUGUCCCGUUAAGCCGUUUUGCGUGGGUUUUGGGACUCGGAAGUAACCAUAUUGUGGCAGUCUAUAGAUCAAGACUAUGUUGGCUUUGAUUCCUGAAGUAUACAAACGGCAAAGGUCUCUGAGAUUUAGGCAUGUUUCAGUUCCCAUGCUUAGCCUUAUAAAUAUGCUAUAAAUCUAUUCCAGUCUUGGCCUCACCUGUGUCCUGUCACCCCUGCUGUCCUCAUGUGAUUAGAGGACAAAAGCACUUACCCGGCCCGGCUAUGGUAGUCAAUCAACCACAACGGACUAUGCUAAUUGAGGGGAAAGGCGAGAGGAAGACGAACAGUGAUCCCAAUUGUUCGGCGAAUUUCACAGCUCAGCGCAGCUGCAAUGCUACUAUUCUCUCCCAAUACACUCUUCCUUCACUUCUAACACAACGCUACUGUAAGCCGAAGUCUGUGCGAACAGGAAGGGAGUUUGGAAUACUCGCUAUUUUCCCAUAAAAGUUCACAUUUUAGAUCAGAAACCAUAGCUUUGUGGCGUAGUCUACAACUGAAGAGAGAAAUGAGACGCACUCCGAAGUUUUUGAGGAGCUGUCCAAGUCCUGAAAUGAACGCGACUCCGCAUAGGUUCUCUAUGGGCUAUUGCACAAGCGACAAAAAUUUCAAUAAAUAUAAGUCAGUAAGUUUAUUAGUAGCCUACUUAAUAGUAAUACGUUUUCUAAUGUUUGCUCUGGAUUGCUUUCUUUUCGCCUCUUUAUACUUCGAUUAGCCUCGCCUCUUGUGUGAGUUGUUUGAAUUGAAAAUUGAUGGUCAAAGUUAGUGCUUCAGAUCCCGUAAAGAAUAUGAAUAUGUUAGUCCUGCCUGUCAUAGCGAAUGAAGAUUUGAACAGAAAGUAAUAAGCAUAUCACUCGGUGCAUAAUAGGUAUUUUAGCACAAAGACAGACUUGAAUUCGUUUAUGCAGACAUAAAGAGUUUGAGUAGUUAUUUGAAAAAUCUAUUUACUGUGCCAUUUUACAAGCCUAGUUAUUUGGUACUGAUCAGCCUUUGUUUUUGUUUGGCUUUCUCCCAUUUUUCAGUCUGAGAUCAAAUAUGCACCCAGAAAACAACCUGUGGCAAAUAUACAAAAAGAAUGACAACUUUAACUGUAAAUUACUUUUUUUCUCGCAUCUAGUUUGACCCAUCUCACAAGGUGCCCUUCCUCUCAGCAGGGGUCAGAAAAUAGGCCUGAGAAUUGUUUGUGUUUUACCGCUGCUGGAGUCCCACUGUGCUUCUGUAUUUUGUGAUGGGAUAAACUUUGACUGUGUCUGAUUGUGUUGCUUUUACAUCUGAAAGAGGGAGGGAGAGACAGAAAGAAACAACAAUGAAAGAAGUUGAUGUUUAUGGAUUGGUCAUUGAUUUUGUUGCUCUUGGUUGUAUGGGCCCCUUUUUUUAAUAAAGACAGGCAAGGAUAUGGAAGCGUGUACAGCGGCGCGGGCUAAAGCUGUAGAAGCGGAUGGAGUCCGCGUGGACAGUCGCUGACAGUUGAAGUACCUGCCCUGAGGACUGCGUGACGGAUUGGGGGCAGCGAGGUUAGGGGUGAUAAUGACACACCCCACUGAGUGUUAUUACUUAAAGACUGUGCUGGGCUGAAAUGACAUUGUAAUGGGAUGGGGCUUUUUGCCACGUUUUCGCAGCACUGGGUGCUCCAGCUCAGCAACUUACUUCCCGCUUCUGUGUCCUCUUUUGUCUGCUGUAUAACUGCUUCUUUGCCACUGCCGCCCCCCUGUCUACUUCCCCGUCCCUCCUUCUCUCACACUUCCCUAUUCUUUCUAGUGUCUGCUUACAUGCAUUACAGAGACUCACUUUCAUGCAUGCAUAGGUUCCUGGCACAAUGCGCAGAAAUUUGGUGCAUAAUUUUUAUUGUUUUUCCUCUAACGCUGAAAAAGCUUAUGUGUGUCUCUACUAGCUUCAGUGCACCUUACUACUGAACACUACUGAACCUUACAACUGAGCCUGUUAGAUCAAGACUGGGGCUCUACGGCGAGCUUUAAUGAGAUCCCCCGCAGCACAUGUACUCAGGCUAUCGUAAACAAAACUCACAGAUAUCUUUUCAACUCAAAGCAUUUUCCAAAAUACAGUUCUUUUUUUGUGUUGCGGUGCAAUACGCUCAAUGUUAGGAUUGAAAAACAGGCAUCAAUACAUGGUGUCCUUCUAUAUGAAUGGACAAACCUACAGUAAACAUAUAGAUUGUGUUGUUUUUGAAUGUGUUUGUGGUUAGUUUGUGGUCUGCAGUGGCAAGCCCCUGGUGUGAGCAAGGUUGCACUUAUAUUGUGAAUAAUAAGCAGCUUUCCCUCUAAUUGUUUCAGCUCUUACAUAUAGAUGGACUCCCUGUGUCCAUAUACAAAGGUUUUUUAGCCCUAGUGGUUACUUUCCUCUAGUACUUAAAAACGCAUUUAGAUUGUGCUCAACAUUCAGGUUAAUCAGAAUGACCAACAACCUUUCAGUGUGUAAGUGUGUGUGUGGUUAUUGAAUUAAACACAUACAUACAUGUGUGUGUAUGUAUGUGUAUAUAUAUAUACAGUCAAUUCAAAAUUUAUUCAGACACCUUCAACAUUUCUCACGUUAACACAGUUUAUUCACUAUAGUUUAGAAAAUGGUAAUUAAAUGUGACAAGAACUCGGAGUUACACUGUGUCAGAACAAAUUCAUCUUGAUAAUGUCAGAUAACUUUGAUAGAAAGGUAUAUAACAAAACAUAGUCAGGUCAAAGUGUCUAAAUAAUUUUUGGUCAUAAUAUGUCACAGUUUACUUUAUUGCUGUCAAACGAUUAAUCACGAUUAAUCGCAUUGAAAAUAAAAGUUUGUGUUUACAUAAUAUGUGUGUGUACUUUGUAUAUUUAUAUUUAAACACACACACAUGUAAAUAUUUCUUAAAUAUAUAAAUGUGUGUUUGUGUGUGUGUGUGUGUGUGUAUAUAUAGUAGUCGACUAACUGUUAGUCCAUGUGAAGAGGCUUGGUCGACCAAAAUGUUAUUAGUCGCUUAGCCGCAGAAAAAGAAACACAGGAUAUGACAAAGUCACGCAGUCCGUGACAUACAGAUUGUUAACAGCUGGUCUAUGUGGUAAUAUAGUACAUCGGAUAGGACAUCCAAAUGCAAGUCUCAAAUAUGACUUAUCUUCUGUGCUCUAUUCAAGUGUCUGAGUGGAGUGUGGAAGCUAAAUAGUAGCACAUUCAUUUCAUGACAGAUGGAGGCGCCAGUGCGAUCAUUUGCUCUUAAAAUACUCCGUCAUUUUUGGUCAUACAGAUAAGAGUAAUACAUUUUUCGAAUCUGUAAAGACUCUACGUUUAUUUGUGUGCACUCACAAUAACAACAAAACAUUGCACUUUUGUAAAAUAAUGAAAGUAAACAGGAUGCGCCUUCUGCCGUCUCUGUCAACUUGAGCACUCCCCCCAAAAAAUAAAAUAUAACCAAACUUCCAUGUCUCUCUGAGAGAGAGAGAGAGAGAGAGAGCAAAAUGUCUACUUUCAAAUUAACCAAUUCAAAACAAUUUCUCAGAUUAUGUAAUCUGUAUGAAACGGAUAUACAGGCCUACAGGUCGCCGACUUCAUCUAGCCAAAAACAAAGAAAGCACUAGUUUAUCAAUAAAUUAUUGAUAAAUAAGUUAAUGCUGCCUCAUUACUGUUUUUCCCCUGACAUUCAUAAUCAUUACAUCUGCCGGUGUGCUGUGGCAAGUUUUAUGCUUGCACUUGAACGCUUAUUGGGCUAGGUAGGCAAUUAAAGUCUCAUUAUUAUGAUUUAAAUGGUUUAUUAAUAAUCAUGCGAUUAGUCGACUAAUGCAUAAAAUGAACGAUAUUAUAUUAUAUAUGUAUGUGUGUACACUGUAAAAAAACAAAAAAAUACAAUUUGUUGAGUCAACUUAAAAUAAUUUGUUAUCCUACUGCCUUAAAAUUUUAAGUUGAAUCAAAUAUCUAAGUUAUCAAAGUUAACAAUUUAAUAUUUUAUUAGUCAACAAGUUAAUAAUUUUUUGAGUUGACUGAACUUAAAAAAAUUAAGGCAGCAGGGUAACAAAUUAUUUUAAGUUGACUCAACAAUUUUUUAUUUUUUACAAUGUAUACAUAUAAAUAUACACAGUACACACACAUAUAUUAUGUAAACAUAAAACUUUUAUUUUGGAUGUGAUUAAUCAUGAUUACUUGAUUUGACAGCACUUAGUACCAGUACUUAGGUGGAAACCUAUACAUAGGAGCCUGAUAAAAAUAAAAAUGAUUAUUUUAAAGAAAAACGUCAGAUGGACUUACAAAUAGUGUUUUAUAUUUACAAAUGUGUGACCUUCUGGGUUUAUAUAUAUAUAUAUAUAUAUAUAUAUAUAUAUAUAUAUAUAGGUGUGUGUUAAAACAUUUAGUAUUUUGUAUUGUAUAAACUGGAGUAUAAACUGGCCAUAUUAUAUAGAAUUUAUUCUGUGCGUUCACACACUGUUUUCAGACUCGCAUCUCAAACUUGACAUUUUAAAUGUUUUUUUCGGUGGACUUUUAUCUUCCCUGGAUGCACUCCUUUUUUAUUUACCUACUAGUAAUAAUAAAAAGUAAUUCAUCUUAAGAAUAAUCUGUCAGUACUCUUUUCACACCACACAAACAUGCAUUGUGGCCAAACUCUCAGUGAAAGUGCGAGCUGCGUAGUAUGAGCAAUGACUGUGGUGAUUCACACACAUGCUGGUUUCUGUUUCAGUCAGCUCCUUGUGAGUAUGUGUAUUACGUUGGCCCUGCACCUCUAAUGUGUUUGCAGAAAAAAGAAAGUAAUGCAGUUUCUGUGAAGAGUAACCUUAAACACAAUGAUGACUUUAUGGCUGAUGGACUUAAUACGCUGAGCAGCGGAGCUGUUUUAAACUGCUGUGGUUCCUCUGUUUCUAAUGUGGCAGUAUUUCUCUGCAGGGCUGACGAAAAGCUGUUAUUUCUCUCUGAGGCGCAGUGCCAAUACCUGAGACCUCUGCCAAAAAAGCCAAUCCUUUUACACUGUUAGGCGAGAAAUCUUUUAGUGUACGCAAUACACAGAUGCAAACAAAAAUCCAUAGGCAUUUUGUCUCUCUCAAUCAAAAACACGGGCAAACACUCUCUCAUGCACAGGUUGGUGAUUAUUUUAAGCAGAGGAGAUUAGGUUAAUGAGGGGUCAGGGGGUGACCAUAAGAAACAACGACUCAGUUUCCUCUGGAUGUCACUGAUAGCUCUUACUGCAGCUGACCUUUGACAUCCCUUACAGUGAGUGAUCUACAGGCUCAGCCAUUUAGAUGCACUAGAUUACAAUAUCAAUGUGAUGGACACAGGAUCCUUUAUACAAGGGUCAGUGAAAUAUACCUUUUAAUGAUAACCAAAAGCCCGGCUAAAGAGGGUCCAUUUGUAACAAUGACCUUAGAUACUGACACAUUUGAUGCACUUUGAAAUUGCAUUCAGCCUGAAUCAAAACAAUUUCUCAUCUUUUGAUCUAAAUACACUAGGUUUAGGGUUGGUGUUUGUUUUAAAGUUUGUGAACGAUGUUCACCAAAGCUGCAAUUACUUGAUCAAAAAUACAGUAAAAACAGUAAAACUGCGUGCUAAUUCAGUGUAAAGACGCAAUAUUGCAUAAUUUAAGCCAUAAAUCAUGCCUGCUCAGACCCACCUUAGUCCCUAGAUGUAAUGUAUAAUGUGGUUUGUAUAUUUUUGUACCACAUCUGAGCAAUAUUAAACAGUCAGUGUACACUAAAAAAAUGCUGGGUUAAAAACAACCCAGCAUUGGGUGAAAUAUGGACAAACCCAGCAAUUACUAUAAAUUACUAAAAUAAACCCAAAAUAGGUUGUAAAUUAAAAAUCAGACACAUCAUUACUAGAUGCACAGCAAUAAUCAAAAGGUGAUUAUUUAUAAUAAGCAAUUAAAAAAAUGUUUGUCAUUUAAUUAUUAUUUAUUCAACUUAUUCAUCAGUGUUCAUUUAUUGAAGAUAUUAAUGAAUGUUAAUUUCCAACCUAUUUUGGGUUCAUUUUUAAGCAAAAGUUGAGCUAAAUAAAACUACCCAGAAGGCCGGGUUAAACAUUUAACUGGAUCAGAACAACGCAGUUGAUGGGUUUGUCCAUAUUUCACCUAAUGCUGGGUUGUUUUUAACUAAAUUCGACAAGAUUUCCCUAGUGGGGUUUUGCGGUUUAUGAGUAAAAUAAGGUCUGGUCAACAUAACUAGACAAUACUUUAACGCUUUAUACAAUUUAAGUUGUAGAACAAACGCACACCCCUAUAACAUUCCUGUAUACACUCUAAAAAAUGCUGGGUUAUUUUUUUAACCCAAAUGCUGGGUUCAGCCUGCUGGGUCAUUUUAUUGGGUUAUUUUUUAAUACUUUUUACCCAGGUGCUGGAUAGUUGUUCUGUAACUAUCAUUUUUAACGCUGGAUUAUUUUUUUCUACCCAGCCGCUGGGUUGAGCCCGUCUCUGGCGAAACAACCCAGCUGUUGAGUUACAGUCAGAGUGCAGGCUUUUUGUGUUCUUUACAGGAGGGACUGGUUCUCAACCCCGCCUUUAUCGAAAUAAAGGUUUGUAUACAUUUUAUUUCAUUUAUAACGUCUUUACUGUGCUAUAAAUUGUAUUAUGUUAUGCAACACAACAUAAGGAUGAGAUAUCAGUCAGCUGCGUCAGCAGCGGUCACUUCGCAUGAUGGAAACACCUUUUGCCUUGCAGAAAAUAAAGGGAUUUGUUUCGUUAUAGUACUGAGUUUAAUUUAAUUUGAUGUUAAAAUGUGUUCUCUAAUGUCAGUACUGUUUGUUUAUGGACAGGUUUUGGAGUUAGUGACAACAUCUUUUAGCUACGAGUGAAAUGCGAGGCCGCGGUCUGAAGUUCGCAGUUACCCUGACAAACAGCAGCCCUUCACCUCAGAUUUCGGCAACACACCGGCACGAUAAUUAGCGCUAUUUAGGUAAAAAAUGAUUGCAGAAAACAGUUGAAUACACUGAAAUUAAAACUUUUAAAUGUUACUUUUUUUUGUCUAAAAUGAUUGUUAAACAAGUUUAAAUAUGUCUAAUAUUGUUAACUAUGCUGUAUUCAC